UCUUAUUUUAAACUCAAAAUGUGUGUGUUCAUGCAGGAGUGAGUGUGUGUACGUGUGUUUUUGUGUGGCGUAUGACUGCAUUUACUGUAUUCAUUUUAAGAGUAAUUAUGUGUUAAACAUGUGAGUGUACGCAUCAUGUGUGUGCAUGCGUGUGCAUGCGUGUGCAUGUGUGUGUGUGUGUGUGGUGUGGUGUGGUGUGUGCAUCUGUCAGUCAAGCUGCAUUCAGUGACUCGGGAUAUUAUUUUACUCGUACAAAGGCCUUGCUUUGUCCUUGUGCGUGGACAUAAAUCACCUUAAAAAAUAUGCUCCACCAAAUGGCAUAACAAUCCAUUUUUAAAAAGGCCACAUGCUUUCAGAACACAGCAGAACAGAACCUAACCUGGGGAACCAACAAUGUCUGGAAAAUCGAUCAUUUGUGAACAGGCAUGUUAGUGUCUGGGAUAAUUUCUGCAUAUUGACAGUUGGGUCAAAAAUCUUCAGGGUUGUUCUAAUUGUUGGGAAGAAUAAUCUGUGCCUUAUACUCUUCUCUUUUCCAUCAGUCCGUCUCUUUCUUCGCCACUAAUCAUAGAGCUUCAGUUGGAGCUGGUGCUUUGUGGGGAGGAGCCUGCAACAACAGAGAUCUGGGCACACAGAGCAGCUUUAAUUAGAUGGGGCCUUGUGCCAUGUGCCAUCACGGCAUGUGUGAAAAUGAAUGUGUGCCUGUAUGUCGUGCAGCUUUGUCUUUAUCUGGGGAUGCUUUUUUGUAUAUAUGCCUGUUUAGCUUUUCCUUUCUUUUUUACAUAAAAAUUCUUAUUAUUUGCACACUGAAUAGAAAGCAACUGCACAUUUCUACGUUCUGGAGAAGACAUUUUUGCUAUGCUUGUGCCCAUGGACCUUAAACCUUAAUGUCCUCCCUGAGGCGCCACCCUCGAGCGUCGGCCAACUGCUUUGGCAUCAGAUAAUGUAAAUGAAGACAAACCAGUUUCUUUUGUAGUCAAACAGCCAGGAUCUUCUUUUAAUUUAAAAAUGUAUUUCGGUCAUUGCGGGGGGUGCUGUUUGAAGCCAUCACACUCCCAUAGAGCCACUCAGUGGGCAUUGCAUAUUGACCGUAGGGAUGGGCGCCAGACCGGAGAAAGGAAGACUGGAGCCAUUGCCAGUAUGAACUGGUUUGACAACUGGUGGAAUUGUGUUUUAAUUGGUGCAUCUUGCUGAUUGUUUGACAUGAAGGGUUUUUGAUAUACACCAAACCAAUCAAUGGGUUUAGUGGACAAAGGGAGGUUUCCAAUUGGUUGAGAGGAUUUUAGGCGGGAUACAGGCAACCUGGUGACAUCAUAAACUGAGAGGUCAGAACAUUUAAAGGAUGCUGAGAGCUGAAGGAUAAUUAGAAGAGCUCAAGCCAGAAGACUAACAUUUUUGUUCCAUGGAGUUAACAGUUGUUUGAUUUGUAUCACUUAGAAUAUGUUACGUGGCAUAGAUUUUUACUCAGUUUGUUAUUUGUGAUAUAAUACAAUUUUAAAAUCUAUACAUUUAUGUUUGUUAACAUUUUUCCUAUCUGUCUUUAGGUGAGAUAUUGGCCCAUGUUUCUUGGCCUGGGGUUUAAGAGGAUGGGUAGCCUUAGGGGUUGAUUGUUAUCUUUGGUUAUCUAGCUGUAUGAGUGAUGUACAUUCUUCAUAAAGCUAGAUAACCGAAAGUAACAAGAAUCCCAUUACACUCCUGGAAAGGCAUCAAGACCCAAAGUGACUCCUUUCAUCAAAAAUCAAAAAAAUACACAAGAAGUUUAACUUGAGAAAAAAUGGACUGCAUUUUAAAGGAGAAUGGAUCGUUCAUCAAAUAAAGGGUACCUUGCCACAUAGAGAAAAGAUGGCAAAAGAAGACUGAAAACAGAAGAGGAGGAGGGGUUGCUGUUGAUUGUGCCCUCCCUCUCUCAUCGCCCUCUUCUGCAUCGCCUCUUCCCACCUCCUCCUCUUCUCUUUCUCCUCCACUCCAUCCUCAGCAGACUGCCCCUUUUUCCUGUACAGCGAAAUGCAGCCCACGCCACCAUCUUAGAGCAACGCUGGCAUAAAAUGGAAGUGGAAAGACCAGUCACUGCAGAUAAACGUUGGUGGCCACGGGGUUCCAAAAUGGACAGAACACACAAUGGGGAGACGGCAGGACUCGUCUUUCACGGCUUGCUGCCAUUCAGCUGCUGUAAA